rnacentral:rRNA from 1 species
GACGAACGCUGGCGGCGUGCCUAAUACAUGCAAGUAGAACGCUGAAGGAGGAGCUUGCUUCUCUGGAUGAGUUGCGAACGGGUGAGUAACGCGUAGGUAACCUGCCUGGUAGCGGGGGAUAACUAUUGGAAACGAUAGCUAAUACCGCAUAAGAGUAGAUGUUGCAUGACAUUUGCUUAAAAGGUGCAAUUGCAUCACUACCAGAUGGACCUGCGUUGUAUUAGCUAGUUGGUGAGGUAACGGCUCACCAAGGCGACGAUACAUAGCCGACCUGAGAGGGUGAUCGGCCACACUGGGACUGAGACACGGCCCAGACUCCUACGGGAGGCAGCAGUAGGGAAUCUUCGGCAAUGGACGGAAGUCUGACCGAGCAACGCCGCGUGAGUGAAGAAGGUUUUCGGAUCGUAAAGCUCUGUUGUAAGAGAAGAACGAGUGUGAGAGUGGAAAGUUCACACUGUGACGGCAUCUUACCAGAAAGGGACGGCUAACUACGUG